GCGUCUUGCUCCUUUCCUAUUAAUCGAUGUGAAACAGAGUGAAAAGAUCUAAGAAACGUUUGAUGUAGCCCUGGAAGGAGGCAAAAAUUUCAUGCUGAUUUUUGCCGUGUUCGUCUUCUCACUGUUAACUUUCCAGUAAAUAUUCUCUAUUCAAUCCUUGCUUCUUUUGUUUGACAACUACGCUUCCAGAGACCGUAGACAGGAAGAGGAGGAGCCUCUGUCUUCCUCAAUCCGAACUGCAGUUCCCCAUUCGUUUUCUCCCUUUCGGAUUCCCUCUUCAUUGCCUCCCGAUCUCAUAACCAUCUUUCCUAAAGCUCAUUCAUUACUGCAUGAAUCAAAAGCCAAGCAACAGUUUCAACUUCCGGUGCUCUCGAUUCUUCCAUUCAUCGCACUUACAUAGACUAAAUGAUCCCUGCAACCAUGGCAAAUAAAACGUCCUCAUCAACCAGAAAGGCAAGACGGCGUGCGUUAUUAUAAAACAAUGUUGGCCCUCGAUUUCGGCUAAUUUCAUUUCUGGGAAUUACGCGGAGUAAGACAUAGAUUCCCUUUUUAGAAGGUAAUCUAAAAAGGGAACAUUCAGUAUAUCUCUCUCUCUUAGUUUCUUCAUCAAAUUGAACACGAGAGACAUUGGAGGAUUGUUUGUUAGCGUAUGUUUUCAGAGAGCUCCAAAUCCUCCAUCUACGACCCUUAUCAGUUUACUUGAUCAAACUUGAGAUCACAAAUACACGCAUCAACUUUACCGACAACGCUUUCAAGUUCCAAUGCCUUCCCAGAUAUAUCGGCGAGAAAAGAAAAGAAGUUUGCAGCAACUGCCUCUAUGAAAGCUGAUUUAGAGAAGAAGAAAAUUGAGCAAUGUAAGCUAGAAAAGUGAAGGAAUCACAUACGAGCAAGGAAAUCUUUUCCACAAGAGCAGGCCGCCAGAGAAAAAGUUGCUGAUCGAGCUAUUUAUUUUUUAAAUUGCACAACCUUUUGUUUUUUCAAAUAUUUUGAUUACAGUCUUUUCAUUAUUUAUGCUUAACUGCUUGAGGAACUAAGCUGCCAAGCAAGGUACAAGGUUAUUUGAAUAUAAAAGUCCAACAGUGCUGGUGCAUGUGGAACGGUACAAUAGACUAUGGAGAAUUCAUGAUAGAAGCAAUAGUGCACAUAAACAGAUUCACGGAGUUCAAUUGCUAACACAGACACAAUGAAAAAAAACGUACAAGUAAGACUCCUUUCCUUUAUUGUUUUUUUUAUCGUUUAUGAGUCGCUUCGCCAGUUUUGCUCUAUAACUUUUUUUUACAUUCAUUCCUCUUUAAUCUGUAGCUUUGUUCUAAACUUCUAAGUCGUGGUCUCUCUUAACAUCUUGAACUCUUAAUUUUGUCUUGAGUCAAAGAGAGAGAUUGAUUGCUCCCAUGUCUCAUCUGUUGAGAAGAAAAACUGUCAUGGCUCCCGAGAAAUCCUCUCAGCCGCCGGACAUGGAGACAAAGUUGGAUCUAGAGCCAGAGAGUCAAAGGUAGGAGGUUAUCUUGAUCCAGCAAAAUUAAUCAAAAAGUUCGUGGAACUUUUUUUUUCUUAUUAAAAAGAUCGUGGAACUUUGCAUACAAACUUUGAAAGCAAGAUCUCAGUCUCAGCCAGCACAACAAUGAAGUAGGAAUUUUACCACAAAAAAAAACAAUGAAGUAGGAAACCAGCAUUCCUCCUGCGAGCUCCCAUCCUCCAGAGGCUAAUGACCAAACUGUUGACUCUGGCCAAAACAACAAGUUCCCCGUUAUAAGCGAAAAACUUAUCAACAACGUCAUCGAUUACAGGAUGCUUUUAUUGUGAUUUUUAUUGUUUUGUCCUUUAGUUUAGGGUUAAAUUAUCUGCUAUGUUUCUAGAAACAAUAUUUUAAAUCCCAUUCUGGAUAUCGUUUCGGCAUAAGUUUAUAUCAUGUUCAUUAAGAUU